GACGUAGGGCGCGAGCGUUGUCCGGAUUUAUUGGGCGUAAAGAGCUCGUAGGCGGUCUGUCGCGUCGGUCGUGAAAACUUGGGGCUUAACCCUGAGCUUGCGGUCGAUACGGGCAUGACUGGAGUUCGGCAGGGGAGACUGGAAUUCCUGGUGUAGCGGUGAAAUGCGCAGAUAUCGGGAGGAACACCAGUAGCGAAGGCGGCACUCUGGGCCGGUACUGACGCUGAGGAGCGAAAGCGUGGGGAGCAAACAGG
rnacentral:rRNA from 1 species